rnacentral:rRNA from 1 species
UACGGAGGGGGCUAGCGUUGUUCGGAAUUACUGGGCGUAAAGCGCACGUAGGCGGCUUUGUAAGUCAGAGGUGAAAGCCCGGAGCUCAACUCCGGAAUUGCCUUUGAGACUGCAUCGCUUGAAUCCGGGAGAGGUGAGUGGAAUUCCGAGUGUAGAGGUGAAAUUCGUAGAUAUUCGGAAGAACACCAGUGGCGAAGGCGGCUCACUGGACCGGUAUUGACGCUGAGGUGCGAAAGCGUGGGGAGCAAACAGG